rnacentral:tRNA from 1 species
GCAUGAUGGUUCAGUGGUAGAAUUUUUGUUUUCCAUGCAGGAGACCUGGGUUCAAUUCCCAGCCAGUGCA